GACGAACGCUGGCGGCGUGCUUAACACAUGCAAGUCGAACGAAGAGCGAUGGAAGCUUGCUUCUAUCAAUCUUAGUGGCGCACGGGUGAGUAACGCGUAAUCAACCUGCCCUUCAGAGGGGGACAACAGUUGGAAACGACUGCUAAUACCGCAUACGAUCCAAUCUCGGCAUCGGGACUGGAUGAAAGGUGGCCUCUAUUUAUAAGCUAUCACUGAAGGAGGGGAUUGCGUCUGAUUAGCUAGUUGGAGGGGUAACGGCCCACCAAGGCGAUGAUCAGUAGCCGGUCUGAGAGGAUGAACGGCCACAUUGGGACUGAGACACGGCCCAGACUCCUACGGGAGGCAGCAGUGGGGAAUCUUCCGCAAUGGACGAAAGUCUGACGGAGCAACGCCGCGUGAGUGAUGACGGCCUUCGGGUUGUAAAGCUCUGUUAAUCGGGACGAAUGGUUCUUGUGCGAAUAGUGCGAGGAUUUGACGGUACCGGAAGAGAAAGCCACGGCUAACUACGUG
rnacentral:rRNA from 1 species